rnacentral:rRNA from 1 species
AUUGAACGCUGGCGGCAGGCCUAACACAUGCAAGUCGAACGAGUGGCGGACGGGUGAGUAAUGUCUGGGCAACUGCCCGAUGGAGGGGGAUAACUACUGGAAACGGUAGCUAAUACCGCAUACUAUCAGAUGAGCCCAGAUGGGAUUAGCUAGUUGGUGGGGUAACGGCUCACCAAGGCGACGAUCCCUAGCUGGUCCGAGAGGAUGAACAGCCAAACUGGAACUGAGACACGGGCCAGACUCCUACGGGAGGCAGCAGGGGGGAAUAUUGCACAAUGGGCGAAAGCCUGAUGCAGCCAUGCCGCGUGGAUGAAGAAGGCCUUCGGGUUGUAAAGGACUUUCAGCGGGGAGGCGUUACCCGCAGAAGAAGCACCGGCUAACUCCGUGCCAACAGCCGCGGUAAUUC